rnacentral:rRNA from 1 species
UGAGGAAUAUUGCGCAAUGGGGGAAACCCUGACGCAGCGACGCCGCGUGGAUGAUGAAGGCUUUCGGGUCGUAAAAUCCUGUCAGAUGGAAAGAAGUGUAUAUGUGCUAAUACCAUGUAUAUUUGACGGUACCAUCAAAGGAAGCACCGGCUAACUCCGUGCCAGCAGCCGCGGUAAUACGGAGGGUGCAAGCGUUGUUCGGAAUUACUGGGCGUAAAGCGCGCGUAGGCGGUUUGCUAUGUCAGAUGUGAAAGUCCACGGCUCAACCGUGGAAGUGCAUUUGAAACUGGCAGACUUGAGUAUUGGAGGGGGUGGUGGAAUUCCCGGUGUAGAGGUGAAAUUCGUAGAUAUCGGGAGGAAUACCGGUGGCGAAGGCGACCACCUGGCCAAAUACUGACGCUGAGGUGCGAAAGCGUGGGGAGCAAACA